rnacentral:tRNA from 1 species
UAGCUCAGUCGGUAAAGAAUCUGCCUGCAAUGCAGGAGACCUGGGUUCAAUUCCCGG